rnacentral:rRNA from 1 species
AUGCACAUCAUGUGGGUUUUGGAGUUCGUGUUGGACAGCAAAAAUUGUUGGAUAAUGAUGUGGUUCGGACAAAGCGCUUCAUGUGUAGUAGGGAAGGAUUCAGGGCUGAGAAGAGAAAGGAGAUUAAAGACCCAUCAAACCCAUGAAAGAAAAAUCGUAAGAAUACAACUACACGAUGUGGUUGUGAUGCACAUAUCUUUGUCAAGUUGUGUGGCGACAACACGUACAAGAUACAAUCAUGGGUUGAGCACCAUAGUCAUGGCCUUGUAUCCCCUGAUAAACGCCACUUGA